rnacentral:tRNA from 1 species
UUACAGGGAGACCGGAACCCAGACGAAACCGAAAGCAGUAAAAUAGGUUUCAACUGAGGUCAUCCCAGGUCGUGCGAGGUUGGAAAAAGCUUUCUACUGUAGACGAAGACAGGAAAAAAACCUCCUGUCUUCGGUUGGGUUUGGGAAUGGGCUAUUAGCUCAGGUGGUUAGAGCGCACCCCUGAUAAGGGUGAGGUCCCUGGUUCGAGUCCAGGAUGGCCCACCUAGACAAGCAAAAAGAAACAGCCAAAAGAAAGUUGGCUGAAAAGCUUUGAACUUGUGAAAUUAAGUGGGGGUAUAGCUCAGUUGGUAGAGCGCUGCCUUUGCAAGGCAGAAGCCAGCGGUUCGAGUCCGCUUACCUCCACUCCACCAAAACCAGAGAAAAAGAUACCAGCACCGAGAAAAACCUCAAAGCUGCUGGAGGUCUAAUCCAGUCAGAACCUUGAAAACUGCAUAGCAAAAACUGUCAUAGAGAAAGGUAGGGAAGCGAGUAAAAUCGCAGAAGUAUCAGUCAAAAAGCAAAGACCAAAGAAAAGU